rnacentral:rRNA from 1 species
GACGAACGCUGGCGGCGUGCCUAAUACAUGCAAGUCGAACGCUGAAGGAGGAGCUUGCUCUUCUGGAUGAGUUGCGAACGGGUGAGUAACGCGUAGGUAACCUGCCUGGUAGUGGGGGAUAACUAUUGGAAACGAUAGCUAAUACCGCAUAAUAACAGUUGUUGCAUGACAACUGUUUGAAAGGUGCAAUUGCAUCACUACCAGAUGGACCUGCGUUGUAUUAGCUAGUUGGUGGGGUAACGGCUCACCAAGGCGACGAUACAUAGCCGACCUGAGAGGGUGAUCGGCCACACUGGGACUGAGACACGGCCCAGACUCCUACGGGAGGCAGCAGUAGGGAAUCUUCGGCAAUGGACGAAAGUCUGACCGAGCAACGCCGCGUGAGUGAAGAAGGUUUUCGGAUCGUAAAGCUCUGUUGUAAGAGAAGAACGAGUGUGAGAGUGGAAAGUUCACACUGUGACGGUAUCUUACCAGAAAGGGACGGCUAACUACGUG